rnacentral:rRNA from 1 species
UCCCGCCUAAGUCCCCUGGAACGGGGCGUCAUAGAGGGUGAGAAUCCCGUAUGCGGUGGGUUGCCUUAGCCAUGUGAACCUCCUUCGACGAGUCGAGUUGUUUGGGAAUGCAGCUCUAAAUGGGAGGUAAAUUUCUUCUAAAGCUAAAUACCGGCCAGAGACCGAUAGCGCACAAGUAGAGUGAUCGAAAGAUGAAAAGCACUUUGGAAAGAGAGUUAAAAAGUACGUGAAAUUGUUGAAAGGGAAGCGCUUGCAACCAGACUUGUCCGCAGUUGCUCAGCCGGUCUCCUGACCGGCGUACUCUUCUGCGGCCAGGCCAGCAUCAGUUCGGGCGGUCGGAUAAAGGCCUCGGGAAUGUGGCUCCUCUCGGGGAGUGUUAUAGCCCGGGGCGGAAUGCGGCCAGCCUGGACUGAGGAUCUCGCUUCGGCAAGGAUGCUGGCGUAAUGGUUGUAAGCGGCCCGUCUUGAAACACGGACCAAGGAGUCUAACAUCUAUGCGAGUGUUUGGGUGUCAAACCCAUACGCGUAAUGAAAGUGAACGGAGGUGGGAACCCGCAAGGGCGCACCAUCGGCCGAUCCUGAUGUCUUCGGAUGGAUUUGAGCAAGAGCAUAGCUGUUGGGACCCGAAAGAUGGUGAACUAUGCCUGAAUAGGGUGAAGCCAGAGGAAACUCUGGUGGAGGCUCGCA